UACGGGGGGGGCAAGCGUUGUUCGGAAUUACUGGGCGUAAAGGGCGCGUAGGCGGCCUGCUAAGUCACACGUGAAAUCCCUCGGCUCAACCGGGGAACUGCGUGUGAUACUGGCGGGCUCGAAUUCGGGAGAGGGAUGUGGAAUUCCAGGAGUAGCGGUGAAAUGCGUAGAUAUCUGGAGGAACACCGGUGGCGAAGGCGGCAUCCUGGACCGAGAUUGACGCUGAGGCGCGAAAGCUAGGGGAGCAAACGGG
rnacentral:rRNA from 1 species